rnacentral:rRNA from 1 species
AAGAUGAAUCAAAGAAGGUAAUAAUCCUGUAGUCGAAAAUGUUGUCUCUCUUGAGUGGAUCCUGAGUACGACGGAGCACGUGAAAUUCCGUCGGAAUCUGGGAGGACCAUCUCCUAAGGCUAAAUACUCUCUAGUGACCGAUAGUGAACCAGUACCGUGAGGGAAAGGUGAAAAGCACCCCGGAAGGGGAGUGAAAUAGAACCUGAAACCGUGUGCUUACAAGUAGUCAGAGCCCGUUAAUGGGUGAUGGCGUGCCUUUUGUAGAAUGAACCGGCGAGUUACGAUUUGAUGCAAGGUUAAGCAGUAAAUGUGGAGCCGUAGCGAAAGCGAGUCUGAAUAGGGCGUUUAGUAUUUGGUCGUA